UACGGAGGGAGCUAGCGUUGUUCGGAAUUACUGGGCGUAAAGCGCACGUAGGCGGCUUUUUAAGUCAGGGGUGAAAUCCCGGGGCUCAACCCCGGAACUGCCCUUGAAACUGGAGAGCUAGAAUCUUGGAGAGGCGAGUGGAAUUCCGAGUGUAGAGGUGAAAUUCGUAGAUAUUCGGAAGAACACCAGUGGCGGAGGCGACUCGCUGGACAAGUAUUGACGCUGAGGUGCGAAAGCGUGGGGAGCAAACAGG
rnacentral:rRNA from 1 species